GUGGAUAAUUAACCAAUGAACGCCAAACAUGCUCUACAGUCUCCGCCUGAAAGUGGGCCUAAUGAGAUUUGUCACCAUGACAACAGGCUCAAACUACCACUCCUUACCCCCAUCCCUUAAUGAGGCUUGGAGUGUGGUCAGAGUGUUUGGAUUGAAAAGGAAUCCAGGAAGGAGCGGGAGCAGAGAGACAGGGGCGAUCGCCGCCCGAGAGAUCGCCUGGAACGCACCCUCUGACCGCUUUGAGCGGAGUUAUGAUUUACGUUUAACGACUUGUGUUUUGUUGGACUUCUGAGCGAUCGAAAUAAAAUGACUUUCUAUUGGAAAAGCAAACCUGGUGUCCAAGCGCUCCGUGAACCCGUUACAAGGGUAAAAACAGCUUGGCUUACACAAUACACCCGUAGACUUUGAAGUAAACUCUUUCGGAUAGCGGGGCUUUUGUGCUGUCAAGAUGAACGCGUUUCGGAUGCGCAGGGUUCA
ensembl:lncRNA